rnacentral:rRNA from 1 species
GACGGAGGGGGCAAGCGUUGUUCGGAAUUAUUGGGCGUAAAGAGCUCGUAGGCGGUUUGUCGCGUCUGCUGUGAAAACUCAGGGCUUAACUCUGAGCUUGCAGUGGGUACGGGCAGACUAGAGUGCGGUAGGGGAGACUGGAAUUCCUGGUGUAGCGGUGAAAUGCGCAGAUAUCAGGGAGGGAACACCGGUGGGCCGAA